AAUGCUUAGGAAUCUGCCUAUUAGUGGGGGACAACAUUCCGAAAGGAAUGCUAAUACCGCAUACGCCCUACGGGGGAAAGCAGGGGAUCUUCGGACCUUGCGCUAAUAGAUGAGCCUAAGUCAGAUUAGCUAGUUGGUGGGGUAAAGGCCUACCAAGGCGACGAUCUGUAGCGGGUCUGAGAGGAUGAUCCGCCACACUGGGACUGAGACACGGCCCAGACUCCUACGGGAGGCAGCAGUGGGGAAUAUUGGACAAUGGGCGAAAGCCUGAUCCAGCCAUGCCGCGUGUGUGAAGAAGGCCUUUUGGUUGUAAAGCACUUUAAGCGAGGAGGAGGCUACCGAGAUUAAUACUCUUGGAUAGUGGACGUUACUCGCAGAAUAAGCACCGGCUAACUCUGUGCCAGCAGCCGCGGUAAUACAGAGGGUGCGAGCGUUAAUCGGAUUUACUGGGCGUAAAGCGAGUGUAGGUGGUUGUCCAAGUUGGAUGUGAAAGCCUUGAGCUCAACUCAAGAAAUGCAUUCAGGACUGGAUGGCUAGAGGACCGGAGAGGAUAGUGGAAUUCCCAGUGUAGUGGUGAAAUACGUAGAGAUUGGGAAG
rnacentral:rRNA from 1 species